AUGGACGAUGCUAUGUCCCAGUUCAAUCAAAUGAUAACUGAAGGGUUAGUUCCUGAUAUCAUAGUUUUUAACCCUCUUAUUAGGGGUUUCUGUUCUUGUGGCAAAUGGGAGAAGGUUGAUGAACUAUUUUCUGAGAUGUUGGAUCGCGGCAUCUGUCCCAACACAGUGUUCUUCAACACAAUUAUGGACGGCCUUUGCAAAAAUGAAAGGGUUAUGGAAGCCCAAGAUCUCUUCGACCUGAUGGUACACAUGGGUGUGAAGCCUGAUGUGUGUACUUAUAACACACUGAUAGGUGGAUACUUGUUCAUUGGUAAGAUGGAUGAAGUGAGGAAGUUACUUGACAAUAUGGUCUCAAUUGGCUUGAAACCAAAUGUUAUUACAUAUAGCAUACUGAUUGAUGGUUACUCUAAGAAUGGAAGGAUAGAUGAUGCAUUGGUUGUUUCCAGGGAAAUGUUGGCCGGGAAGGUUAAGCCUUGUGUUAUCACUUUUAAUAUUAUGAUUGGUGCAUUGCUUAAAUGUGGCAGGAAGGCAGAAGCCAAAGAUUUGUUUGACGGUAUCUGGGCCAACGGAUUAGUGCCCAAUGUUAUUACAUAUAGCUUAAUGAUACAAAAACUUAUUGAAGAAGGUUCUCUACAAGAGUCUGAUGAUCUAUUCCUUUCUAUGGAGAAGAAUGGAUGUGUUGCCGAUUCCGUAUGC
rnacentral:rRNA from 1 species